GCGUGUGAUGAAUACCUAAUAUAACAAAUUAACAGCAACAUCUGAACAGAACCCGUGACGCUAAUAUUGUUUCUGACGC